rnacentral:rRNA from 1 species
AAGAUUCAGCCAUGCAAGUCCAAGUAUAAGCCUUUAUACGGUGAAACUGCGAAUGGCUCAUUAAAUCAGUUAUAGUUUAUUUGAUAAUACCUUACUACUCGGAUAACCGUAGUAAUUCUAGAGCUAAUACGUGCUAGAAAACCCGACUUUACGGAAGGGUUGUAUUUAUUAGAUAAAAACCAAUGCGGUCUCGGCCGGUUAUUUGGUGAUUCAUAAUAACUUUGCGAAUCGUAU